rnacentral:rRNA from 1 species
UUACUAUUAACCCCGCCUGGGUACUACGAGCAAAGCUUAAAACCCAAAGGACUUGGCGGUGCCCUAUUCCACCUAGAGGAGCCUGUUCUUUAAUCGAUAAUCCACGAUUCACCUCACCAUUUCUUGCCUAAACCGCCUAUAUACCGCCGUCGUCAAUUUACCCUUUGAAGGAACAAUAGAAGGUAAAAAGGUGCCCACCAAAACGUCAGGUCAAGGUGUAGCGAAUGAAAUGGGAAGAAACGGGCUACAUUUUCUAUUAUAGACCAAACGGAUAAUCAAUAUGAAAUCUGAACAUGAAGGAGGAUUUAGUAGUAAAAAGAAAUCAUCAAGUUCUUUUUAACAUGGCCCUAGGACGCGCACACACCGCCCGUCACUUU